AACCCUUAUCCCCAGUUGCCAUCAGGUAAAGCUGGGAACUCUGGGGAGACUGCCGGUGAUAAACCGGAGGAAGCGGGGAUGACGUCAAGUCCUCAUGGCCCUUACAUCCCGGGCUACACACGUGCUACAAUGGCAGGUACAGAGGGCUGCGAAGCCGCGAGGUGGAGCGAAUCCCAGAAAACCUGUCUCAGUCCGGAUUGAAGUCUGCAACUCGACUUCAUGAAGGCGGAAUCGCUAGUAACCGCGAAUCAGCAGGUCGCGGUGAAUACGUUCCCGGGCCUU
rnacentral:rRNA from 1 species